GGAUGUGAGGGCGAUCUGGCUGCGACAUCUGUCACCCCAUUGAUCGCCAGGGUUGAUUCGGCUGAUCUGGCUGGCUAGGCGGGUGUCCCCUUCCUCCCUCACCGCUCCAUGUGCGUCCCCUCCCGAAGCUGUGCGCUCGGUGGAAGAGGACGACCAUCCCCGAUAGAGGAGGACUGUUCUUCGGUCAAGGGUAUAGAGUAGCUGCGCUCCCCUGCUAGAACCUCCAAACAAGCUCUCAAAAGGUUAGAUGAAACCAGAGUCAAGCACCUCAAACACCUGUGAGGGGUU
rnacentral:snRNA from 1 species